rnacentral:rRNA from 1 species
GACCGAUAGCAAACAAGUACCGUGAGGGANAGUUGCAAAGAACUUUGAAGAGAGAGUUCAAGAGUACGUGAAACUGCUCAGAGGUAAACGGGUGGGCCCUCGAAAUCCUGUGACGAGAGGAUUCAGUCUGGAGCCGCGGUCGCGCUGGUCGGAAAAACCGAGUAGGGCUUCCCGAGACCGGGGCCGUUCGACUGCGAUGAAUCGUGGCGGCAGACGCAUUUGUCUCUCGUCCGAAGGACGCCGCAGCCGGUUGGGCAGCGCAAGCGUGACGGCCUGAGGGGCGGAAGAUGGCAGGUGGCCGGUGGCGUGCCUCGUGCGCGUCGCCGGUUGUUAGCCGUUCCGUCAGUGGCUCGUCGCCCGACCGAGGUGUCGCUAGGCCCUUCGCGGGCCCCAGCGCCUCCUCCUUAUGGAAGUCGUGACAGAACGUCGCAGGUGAAGGCUACCGUCCGCCGCACUCUCACGGAGUGGGCGGGCGAUCAGUCGGCUCCGUUGGCGAAGGCGGACACGUCGGAGGUCGGAGGCUUGCGGCGAGUAGGUCGGUCACCCACCCGACCCGUCUUGAAACACGGACCAAGGAGUCUAACAUGUGCGCGAGUCAAUGGGUCUUGAAUAGGCCCAGGGGCGCAAUGAAAGCAAAAGUCGGCUCCCGUCGACCGAGUUGGGAUCCCUCCCCCUCGGGGAGGGCGCACCAACGACCCGUCCUAUGCGGCUCGCCGCUUGGGCGGAGUGUGAGCGUACACGUUGGGACCCGAAAGAUGGUGAACUAUGCCCGGACAGGAUGAAGCCAGAAGAAAACUCUGGUGGAAGUCCGCAGCGGUUCUGACGUGCAAAUCGAUCGUCAGAUCCGGGUAUAGGGGCGAAAGACUAAUCAAUC